rnacentral:lncRNA from 1 species
GGGAGGUGCAAGCUGAGCCUUCACUACCUUUUGUCAUGGUUGCUAUGGAAAAGAUUAAGAGCCCUGAUAGCUCUUCCUCCUCUGGAGGCCUGGGCAUCAGCAAGUUGGAUGGCAGUGGAAGGUGGAGAAAUGGAAUCCUGCUGGGGGCUCAGGAGGCCUGCCCCAUGAUGCUGCCGUGCACUGCAGAUGUCCUUGAUAAAGAGAAUGAAUGGAAGCUGUCUCUCAAUGGCAAAAGGGCAUACUGCUGUUAUUGUCAGUGAGGGGUCAGUAGUUUAAAUGAUGAAACGCUGGGGAUCAGCAUAAAAUAAACCAACUGCAUUGCAUGUAAGUAUCAAGUACAUGAGCAGAGACAGCCCCUGGUUUACAAACACCUGACUUAAACAUUGUCCGUCCUACAAGUAAAUUCCUCAUUCUUACUGCUGUGAGAACAAUUGUUAGGAGCCAAAAACUUCAGAGCUUUCAAAGAACUGUAAUGAGAUAGCACAAUGCAGGCAAAAAGCCAGUGUU